UACAGAGGUCUCAAGCGUUGUUCGGAUUCAUUGGGCGUAAAGGGCUUGUAGGUGGCCAACUAAGUCAGACGUGAAAUCCCUCAGCUUAACUGGGGAACUGCGUCUGAUACUGGAUGGCUUGAGAUUGGGAGAGGGACGCGGAAUUCCAGGUGUAGCGGUGAAAUGCGUAGAUAUCUGGAGGAACACCGGUGGCGAAGGCGGCGUCCUGGACCAACACUGACACUGAAAAGCGAAAGCCAGGGGAGCAAACGGG
rnacentral:rRNA from 1 species